UACGUAGGGUGCAAGCGUUGUCCGGAAUUAUUGGGCGUAAAGAGCUCGUAGGCGGUUUGUCGCGUCUGCUGUGAAAACCCGAGGCUCAACCUCGGGCCUGCAGUGGGUACGGGCAGACUAGAGUGCGGUAGGGGAGAUUGGAAUUCCUGGUGUAGCGGUGGAAUGCGCAGAUAUCAGGAGGAACACCAAUGGCGAAGGCAGAUCUCUGGGCCGUAACUGACGCUGAGGAGCGAAAGCAUGGGGAGCGAACGGA
rnacentral:rRNA from 1 species